rnacentral:lncRNA from 1 species
CCUCCACCAGCCCCACAGGGAGGGAGAAAGCCAGAGGCCUGCUCCAAACAUGGGCCAAGAGAGACUCUACUGGGAGAGGAAAGGCCCCAGACAGUUUCUCGGUGAAAGUGAGCAUUAAAAGGACAUGACACAGACCUGGACUGAAUCCCAGUCACCCCCAGCCAUGUGACUUUGGGGAGAGACAGUAGACCCCUCUGGAUAUCAGCUCUCAUUUCGGUAAAAGGGGGAU